UACGUAGGGGGCAAGCGUUGUCCGGAUUUAUUGGGCGUAAAGAGCGUGUAGGCGGCCUGAAAGGUCAGCUGUGAAAACUCGAGGCUCAACCUCGAGACGUCGGUUGAAACCAUCUGGCUAGAGUCCGGAAGAGGAGUGUGGAAUUCCCGGUGUAGCGGUGAAAUGCGCAGAUAUCGGGAAGAACACCCGUGGCGAAGGCGGGUCUCUGGGCCAUUACUGACACUGAGAAGCGAAAGCAUGGGGAGCGAACAGG
rnacentral:rRNA from 1 species